CGCGGGAUGGAGCAGCUCGGUAGCUCGUCGGGCUCAUAACCCGAAGGUCGCAGGUUCGAAUCCUGUCUUCCCGA
rnacentral:tRNA from 1 species